UACGAAGGGGGCUAGCGUUGCUCGGAAUCACUGGGCGUAAAGCGCACGUAGGCGGCUUCUUAAGUCAGGGGUGAAAUCCUGGAGCUCAACUCCAGAACUGCCUUUGAUACUGAGAAGCUUGAGUCCGGGAGAGGUGAGUGGAACUGCGAGUGUAGAGGUGAAAUUCGUAGAUAUUCGCAAGAACACCGGUGGCGAAGGCGGCCCACUGGUCCGGUACUGACGCUGAGGUGCGAAAGCGUGGGGAGCAAACAGG
rnacentral:rRNA from 1 species